rnacentral:rRNA from 1 species
AUGAACGCUGGCGGCGUGCUUAACACAUGCAAGUCGCACGAGAACGUUUCAGCUUGCUGAAACUAGUAAAGUGGCGCACGGGUGAGUAACGCGUGGGUAAUCUACCUCCAAAUUGGGGAUAACAUUGCGAAAGCGAUGCUAAUACCGAAUAAUAUCUCAAACGUUUCGGCUUUUGAGAUCAAAGGUGGCCUCUCCAUGGAAGCUACUGUUAGGAGAUGAGCCCGCGUACCAUUAGCUUGUUGGUAGGGUAAUGGCCUACCAAGGCAACGAUGGUUAGCUGGUCUGAGAGGACGAUCAGCCACACUGGAACUGACACACGGUCCAGACUCCUACGGGAGGCAGCAGCGAGGAAUUUUGCGCAAUGGGGGAAACCCUGACGCAGCAACGCCGCGUGAGUGAUGAAGGCUUUCGGGUCGUAAAGCUCUGUCAAGUGGGAAGAACCUGCCCAGUGCUAAUAUCACCGGGCACUGACGGUACCACUGAAGGAAGCACCGGCUAACUCCGUGCCAGCAGCCGCGGUAACACGGGGGGUGCAAGCGUUAUUCGGAAUCACUGGGCGUAAAGAGCGCGUAGGCGGUCUCUUAAGUCAGAUGUGAAAGCCCGGGGCUUAACCCCGGAAGUGCAUUUGAAACGGAGGGACUUGAGUAUGGGAGAGGGAAGUGGAAUUCCUGGUGUAGCGGUGAAAUGCGUAAAUAUCAGGAGGAACACCGGUGGCCAUGG